GUCUUUUUGUUAAAAAUUUAAAGUCGGGCCUGCCCACUGAAAUUUUAAAUGGCCGUGGUAUUUUGACCGUGCUAAGGUAGCAUAAUCAUUAGUUUUUUAAUUGAAAGCUGGAAUGAAGGGUUUGAUAAAAAAAUGACUGUCUCUAUUUAAUUUUAUUAGAAUUUUAUUUUUAAGUUCAAAAGCUUAAUUAUUAUUAAAAGACGAGAAGACCCUAUAGAGUUUAAUAAUUAAAAGUGAUAUUUAUUUUAGAAUUAAAUUAUUUAUUAUUUAAUAUUAUUUAAUUGGGGUGAUUGAAAAAUUUAAUUAACUUUUUUUUAAUUUAACCAUAAAUUUAUGAUUUUUUGAUCCAAUUUUUUUGAUUAUAAGAUAAAAUUACCUUAGGGAUAACAGCGUAAUUUUUUUAGAAAGUUCAAAUUAAAAGAAAAGAUUGCGACCUCGAUGUUGGAUUAAAAUUAAAUUUUGGUGUAGAAGCUAAAACUUUGAGUCUGUUCGACUCUUAAAAUUUUACA
rnacentral:rRNA from 1 species